rnacentral:hammerhead_ribozyme from 1 species
ACUCAGCUGAUGAGUGCCAAAUAGGACGAAACGCGCAUUCUGGAU